AAGUCGAACGGUAACAGAAAGCAGCUUGCUGCUUUGCUGACGAGUGGCGGACGGGUGAGUAAUGUCUGGGAAACUGCCUGAUGGAGGGGGAUAACUACUGGAAACGGUAGCUAAUACCGCAUAACGUCGCAAGACCAAAGAGGGGGACCUUAGGGCCUCUUGCCAUCGGAUGUGCCCAGAUGGGAUUAGCUAGUAGGUGGGGUAACGGCUCACCUAGGCGACGAUCCCUAGCUGGUCUGAGAGGAUGACCAGCCACACUGGAACUGAGACACGGUCCAGACUCCUACGGGAGGCAGCAGUGGGGAAUAUUGCACAAUGGGCGCAAGCCUGAUGCAGCCAUGCCGCGUGUAUGAAGAAGGCCUUCGGGUUGUAAAGUACUUUCAGCGGGGAGGAAGGGAGUAAAGUUAAUACCUUUGCUCAUUGACGUUACCCGCAGAAGAAGCACCGGCUAACUCCGUGCCAGCAGCCGCGGUAAUACGGAGGGUGCAAGCGUUAAUCGGAAUUACUGGGCGUAAAGCGCACGCAGGCGGUUUGUUAAGUCAGAUGUGAAAUCCCCGGGCUCAACCUGGGAACUGCAUCUGAUACUGGCAGGCUUGAGUCUCGUAGAGGGGGGUAGAAUUCCAGAUGUAGCGGUGAAAUGCGUAGAGAUCU
rnacentral:rRNA from 1 species